UGGCUCUCGUAGGUGACCUGCGGAGGGUCAUUACACAAAUAUGAAGGCGGGCUGGAACCUCUCGGGGUUACAGCCUUGCUGAAUUAUUCACCCUUGUCUUUUGCGUACUUCUUGUUUCCUUGGUGGGUUCGCCCACCACUAGGACAAACAUAAACCUUUUGUAAUUGCAAUCAGCGUCAGUAACAAAUUAAUAAUUACAACUUUCAACAACGGAUCUCUUGGUUCUGGCAUCGAUGAAGAACGCAGCGAAAUGCGAUAAGUAGUGUGAAUUGCAGAAUUCAGUGAAUCAUCGAAUCUUUGAACGCACAUUGCGCCCUUUGGUAUUCCAAAGGGCAUGCCUGUUCGAGCGUCAUUUGUACCCUCAAGCUUUGCUUGGUGUUGGGCGUCUUGUCUCUAGCUUUGCUGGAGACUCGCCUUAAAGUAAUUGGCAGCCGGCCUACUGGUUUCGGAGCGCAGCACAAGUCGCACUCUCUAUCAGCAAAGGUCUAGCAUCCAUUAAGCCUUUUUUUCAACUUUUGACCUCGGAUCAGGUAGGGAUACCCGCUGAACUUAA
rnacentral:rRNA from 1 species